UGGCGCUGUGACCUGCUGCUGUAAAGCCACUGUGGUACUUUGCUACAGAAACCCUGCUGAGGUUUUUAUUCUUCCGUGUUUAUUCUUCCGUGAUGUGAAUUACCACACAAAUAGCUAAACCCAUUGAUGAAAAUAGGAUAGUUAACGAGACCCAUGUUAUUUUGCUUUCCAAGAGAGGCAAGUUUCUGCUUUUCCUUAAUGAUUGUAUUUGGCUUUAAAUUCAGCAGCCAUUUCCUUUUGCCCAAGCAACUUCAAAAUAAGGAGAGAGAUUGCAGAGAGCCAUCUUUGGUGGUUUGGGAGGUUCUGUUACAUCCAUUCUCCUCUUUGGGUUCUAACCACAUUGGAAAUAGACAUAAGCCACCAGUUGAACGUGUGAACUUCUAAUAAAGCUGAAUUGGGAAAGCAAGAAGCCAAAUCUCUCUCCCCUCAGUCGAGGCCUUGACCUGUGUGGCCAGGCGCCCGAAGGCACUUGGAGCCGAGACCGCUGUGUCCUCCACCAGAGGAGUGGAGCCAGUGGGAGAGAAUGGCUGCAGCAUCCUCACCAGCCCUCCCAGGCCCGGACUCCCGGAAGGCAGAGAAGAGUUCCUCGUGCCAGCUGAUUGAUUCUACUAGAGAUGGAGCCACCACUAACCAUGAAAAAUUUAUAAACUUUCCUCACGACUUUGUCACAUGGAAGCUUCUGGUCGCCCUCAGUUUGGAACACUCAGAGGCUUGCAGAGCAAGCUGUUUUCAUGGUCGAGCGUUUCACACAGCCUGGUUGAGGUCAGAACCACAUUCCUGGGAACCUUGCCCCUGCUGAACUAUGAAAUUUCCUGAUUAAGGAAAUGAGAGGAAAUAAGGCAUUAACUAGCACCUACGCACAGCACACAAACUUGAGGAGUUCUUUUUUUCUUUCUUCAGGAGAAUUAAAAACAGAAGAUGCUGCUGUUACAAUUCUCUGAAAUAAGAUGACAAAACCAAGGAUGAACAUUUAACAGCUGUUUUGGAACGGAUUCUGGGAAUAAACAAAAAGCUGCCUAUGGUUUCGCCA
rnacentral:lncRNA from 1 species